rnacentral:rRNA from 1 species
GACGAACGCUGGCGGCGUGCUUAACACAUGCAAGUCGAACGGAAAGGCCCUGCUUUUGUGGGCUGCUCGAGUGGCGAACGGGUGAGUAACACGUGAGUAACCUGCCCUUGACUUUGGUAUAACUUCAGGAAACUGGGGCUAAUACCGGAUAGCAUCCCCCGUUGCAUGGUGGGGGUUGGAAAUUUUCGGCGGUUGGGGAUGGACUCGCGGCUUAUCAGCUUGUUGGUGGGGUAGUGGCUUACCAAGGCUUUGACGGGUAGCCGGCCUGAGAGGGUGACCGGCCACAUGGGGACUGAGAGACGGCCCAGACUCCUACGGGAGGCAGCAGUGGGGAAUAUUGCACAAUGGGCGGAAGCCUGAUGCAGCAACGCCGCGUGCGGGAUGACGGCCUUCGGGUUGUAAACCGCUUUCGCCUGUGACGAAGCGUGAGUGACGGUAAUGGGUAAAGAAGCACCGGCUAACUACGUG